CAGUCGAGAAUUUUUCUCAAUGGGGGAAACCCUGAAGGAGCGACGCCGCGUGGAGGAUGAAGGUUUUCGGAUUGUAAACUCCUGUCAUUUGGGAACAAACCUUUCGGUUAACUGCCGGAAGACUGAUAGUACCAGAAGAGGAAGAGACGGCUAACUCUGUGCCAGCAGCCGCGGUAAUACAGAGGUCUCAACCGUUGUUCGGAUUCAUUGGGCGUAAAGGGUGCGUAGGCGGUCGCGCAAGUCGGAUGUGAAAUCUCAGGGCUCAACCCUGAAACUGCAUUCGAUACUGCGUGGCUAGAGUGCUGGAGAGGAGACUGGAAUUUACGGUGUAGCAGUGAAAUGCGUAGAUAUCGUAAGGAAGACCAGUGGCGAAGGCGAGUCUCUGGACAGCAACUGACGCUGAGGCACGAAGGCCAGGGGAGCAAACGGGAUUAGA
rnacentral:rRNA from 1 species